rnacentral:rRNA from 1 species
AUUGAACGCUGGCGGCAGGCCUAACACAUGCAAGUCGAGCGGAUGAGAGGAGCUUGCUUCUCGAUUCAGCGGCGGACAGGUGAGUAAUGCCUAGGAAUCUGCCUGGUAGUGGGGGACAACGUUUCGAAAGGAACGCUAAUACCGCAUACGUCCUACGGGAGAAAGCAGGGGACCUUCGGGCCUUGCGCUAUCAGAUGAGCCUAGGUCGGAUUAGCUAGUCGGUGAGGUAAUGGCUCACCAAGGCGACGAUCCGUAACUGGUCUGAGAGGAUGAUCAGUCACACUGGAACUGAGACACGGUCCAGACUCCUACGGGAGGCAGCAGUGGGGAAUAUUGGACAAUGGGCGAAAGCCUGAUCCAGCCAUGCCGCGUGUGUGAAGAAGGUCUUCGGAUUGUAAAGCACUUUAAGUUGGGAGGAAGGGUUGUAGAUUAAUACUCUGCAAUUUUGACGUUACCGACAGAAUAAGCACCGGCUAACUCUGUGCCAGCCGCCGCAGUAAGAC